rnacentral:rRNA from 1 species
GACGAACGCUGGCGGCGUGCUUAACACAUGCAAGUCGAACGGUGAAGGGACCGGUUUUUGCUGGUUCUGGAUGAGUGGCGAACGGGUGAGUAACACGUGAGUAACCUGCCCCCUUCUUCUGGAUAACCGCAUGAAAGUGUGGCUAAUACGGGAUAUUCUGCGCCUGCUGCAUGGUGGGUGUGGGAAAGAUAUUGUUUCGGUGGGGGAUGGGCUAGCGGCCUAUCAGCUUGUUGGUGGGGUGAUGGCCUACCAAGGCGGUGACGGGUAGCCGGCCUGAGAGGGUGGCCGGUCACACUGGGACUGAGACACGGCCAGGACCACUACGGGAGGCAGCAGUAGAGAAUAUUGCAGAAUGGGCGAAAGCCUGAUGCAGCGACGCCGCGUGAGGGAUGGAGGCCUUCGGGUUGUAAACCUCUUUCGCCAGUGAAGCAGGCCUGUCCCUUUUGUGGGUGGGUUGACGGUAGCUGGAUAAGAAGCGCCGGCUAACUACGUG